rnacentral:rRNA from 1 species
UGGGGAAUUUUGGACAAUGGGCGAAAGCCUGAUCCAGCAAUGCCGCGUGUGUGAAGAAGGCCUUCGGGUUGUAAAGCACUUUUGUCCGGAAAGAAAUCCUUGGCUCUAAUACAGUCGGGGGAUGACGGUACCGGAAGAAUAAGCACCGGCUAACUACGUGCCAGCAGCCGCGGUAAUACGUAGGGUGCAAGCGUUAAUCGGAAUUACUGGGCGUAAAGCGUGCGCAGGCGGUUUGCUAAGACCGAUGUGAAAUCCCCGGGCUCAACCUGGGAACUGCAUUGGUGACUGGCAGGCUAGAGUAUGGCAGAGGGGGGUAGAAUUCCACGUGCAGCAGUGAAAUGCGUAGAGAUGUGGAGGAAUACCGAUGGCGAAGGCAGCCCCCUGGGCCAAUACUGACGCUCAUGCACGAAAGCGUGGGGAGCAAACAGGAUUAGAUACCCUGGUAGUCCACGCCCUAAACGAUGUCAACUAGUUGUUGGGGAUUCAUUUCCUUAGUAACGUAGCUAACGCGUGAAGUUGACCGCCUGGGGAGUACGGUCGCAAGAUUAAAACUCAAAUGAAUUGACGGGGUCAUAGCUGUUUCCU